AAGAGGUGAGUUUAAAAAAACAUUUACUUGUCAAGUAAAAAUUACAUAAAUUGUGCAUCUUG
rnacentral:tRNA from 1 species